GUAUAAUUUUCUUUCCUUCACUAUUACCGUAAUUCAAGAUUCUAUCCGUGUUGUCCCUUGGUGAUGAUCAUUCAUACAGAAUAGAAGCGAAGCUGCUUUUACCUGGGUCUAGCAGUUCCAACUCAAUUAAAGGUUUCACUCUUUUAAAUCAGUGCGGCGGAGAGGCUGGGGAUAAUUCUCCAGAGUCUGAUCAAAUAAGUGAUGGUCGGGAGUUUGAGUAAUGAGGUUCCGGAGAUCGCUGUUGAUACAUAUCGAAUUACAAGGCUUGGCUUCACUUUGCUACCUUAACUUGGUGUUGUAGGUGAAAGUAGUGAGAGGGGCUAUGAUUUUGAUGGUGGAAGCUUGGAAAAAAAAUAGUGAGGCAUAAAGUGUUUGUUAGGAGUAAACAAAAAUCAACCAGGAUUGUGGCAUAUCAAGGGUUUCCUAUUUGGCUUGACAUACUUCUGGGCAUUAGCUUGAGGACAUACAAUGAGCCAUUCAAGGUUACAAAGAGUCUCAAGGAGGCCCUAUCAUGCUCUCUCAGGUUCCCCGACUUUGGAGGCCCGACAUAUAAGUGACGAGUUCAGGAUUUAGCAUUUGCAAAACAAAUUUAGGUGGUAACUGCACAUCUGCUAAUCGAGGAGGUGAACAUUGCACAGAGUUCUAAAUUGCGGCAUGCUUUUGUUCAACAAAUAGACGCUAAUCUUCUUUUUGAUGUUAAAGGCUACACCAUUUACUAUCUUUUUCCGUCUAUAGACCAUACAUCUGAAAUUGCUAACAUAGUCCAUACUCCUUCUCAAAACUUGAUUUCACUGCCUUCAAACGCGAACUUCUCUUAUUGUCGUUGAUCACAAUGCCAAGGAUCAAACUAUGUCACUACUGGACACAAAAUUAAAUGGAAUACUUGAAGUUUCAUGGCUAACCAGCAGUAGUAACCGAAAAAAACCAGCAGGCAUAUAAGGAUUCCGGUUUGUCAUGAUUCAUAUUUUAGCAAUUUUGUUAUUAUUGAAAUUUAUGUUAUUUAAUUUCUUUGUGGCCAAACAAACAAUGUGAGGAUACUACAGAAAUACUUGAAGUUUCAUGGCUACUAACCAGCAAUAAUAACCGGAAAAAACCAGCAGGUAUACAAGGAUUCCAAUUUGUCACGAUUCAUAUUUUAGCAAUUUUUCUCCAAUUAAAAUCCAAUUUAAUUUCCUUUGUUACAAUAAUCUUUAAGUGAUUCAGUUUCUCAUAAUUUAGGAAUUUGUUGUUAUCAUUAGAUUUUAGAUUUGUUGCUAUCAAUAGUCUCCAAUCAAAUGCUUCUGAUUUCGAAACUAGACAUGAAAACACAAUAAACUCAGGUAUCAUCUCAUAUUUCAUUCUACUAUUCAAUUUACAGGAAAAAUUUAAUGUGAAUUUUUCGUCUUAAACCUACACUUAUCAGUUCAAAAGUGAAGAGGCAGAGGUCUAGGCAUAAUUAACUUCUGGAAGCUCAAAACAAGGAUUUACUAUUUCACAUCUCGCAAUCAAGCACAACUGCCAGACGUAGAGGAAGAGGUCCGGGAAUAGAGCAGUUGUAUGCGCAGAGGUUUGCCGAGGAUUCUCUACCUGUAUCUAAACAUCAAACCUUGAUAAAAGGAGAUUUCUAAUUCUUGAAUUUUAUUGUCGUCCACAGGUAGCUAUAUUCUGAGUAAUUCGGUCAACAAGAUUUCAUUCUGCAGGCAGAUGCACAAGUAGGUAUCGUCUUAUACUCCCAACUCAUCAAUUUCUUUUUUUUAUGGUGCAAAUAACCAUUCCAAUAUAGAAUUUUAACUUGAACAUUAUCCUACAAGCUUUAUACAACGUUUGUUCUGGACAAAGUCACAUGUAUUCUGUAGUACUUUACUUUGACCACGUCAGGUUUCGGUCGCACAAGGUCCUCAUUCUGAUUAAGGGUUCAGAGGGAAAGAGGUGCAGAUGAAGGGCAAAAAUACUUUUGCAGCUCCAAGGAAUGGCAGGCCACUUGGUUAUACUAGCAACAUUAACACAAAACCUGGAUGUGGUCGGGGAUGUUGUUGAGAAAAAAGAAGACAGAAGUAAUACCACAAUGAUGGUCAUGUAAUUCCUCUGGGGUUGAGCUAUACAAGAUUGCUUGGAGUAGAUAUUAGUUUUUUGACCUCGGUAUUCCUAGAUUAGCUUUGCACGAAGACAUUCUGUUACGUGUGUUAAUGUUAUCUGAUUAUAUGGUGCAUCUUACUAAUGCAUGAAGGUGAUUGCCUAAUGGAACCAACAAAGACAGAAAAUCUUCUAAUUACAGAAAUUCAUAUGGAUGAAUGGGUUCUGCUUGGUCCAGACCUACACCAUUGAUAUGAAUGUCAAUGACUUUUUUCUGGGUAAGCUAUCAGAAUUUUAUUAUUA